rnacentral:rRNA from 1 species
UGCGUAGGUGGCAAGGCAAGUCAGAUGUGAAAGCCCGGGGCUCAACCCCGGUACUGCAUUUGAAACUGUCUAGCUAGAGUGCAGGAGAGGUAAGCGGAAUUCCUAGUGUAGCGGUGAAAUGCGUAGAUAUUAGGAGGAACACCAGUGGCGAAGGCGACCUACUGGGCACCAACUGACGCUGAGGCUCGAAAGCAUGGGUAGCAAACA